CGGGUCCCGAUUGCUGCAGCCGCUUGUCAGUGUGACGAAGAUUGGCACCCGAGGUUUCUGUCUUCCACCUUGUACAUAAGUGGGAUCUCUGUGCUGGAACAAGAUCAUGUCUUCAACUCAUUGAAGGAAAGAGAAUAUUUGUUCAUGCUUAUGAUGAUUUGACACACUUAAUGUCUUAAUAACCAUGAUGGCAACACAGACAUUAAGUAUAGACAACUAUCAAGAUGGACAACAGAUGCAAGUGGUAACAGAGUUAAAAACUGAACAAGAUCCCAGCUGCUCUGAAACUGAUGCCGAAGGGGUGAGUCCUGCCCCCGUAGAAUCUCAGACUCCAAUGGAUGCAGACAAGCAGGCCAUUUACAGGCACCCUCUAUUUCCCUUGUUAGCACUAUUAUUUGAAAAAUGUGAAGAAUCUACACAAGGCUCAGAAGGCACAACUUCUGCCAGUUUUGAUGUAGAUAUUGAAAACUUCGUAAGGAAGCAGGAGAAAGAAGGAAAACCUUUUUUCUGUGAAGAUCCAGAAACUGAUAAUUUGAUGGUAAAAGCAAUCCAAGUUCUGCGUAUCCAUCUGCUGGAGCUAGAAAAGGUUAAUGAACUCUGCAAGGAUUUCUGUAGUCGUUACAUUGCCUGCCUGAAGACAAAAAUGAACAGUGAAACUCUAUUAAGUGGAGAGCCUGGAAGUCCUUAUUCACCUGUGCAAUCUCAGCAAAUUCCAAGUGCCAUUGCAGGCACACUCAGUCCCCAAGGGAUCGUGGUGCCAGCAUCAGCAUUGCAGCAGGGAAAUGUAACUAUGGCAACAGUAGCAGGGGGGACAGUGUAUCAGCCAGUCACUGUGGUCACUCCACAAGGACAAGUGGUGACACAGGCACUGUCACCUGGGACUAUUCGGAUCCAGAACUCUCAGCUCCAGUUGCAAUUAAACCAAGAUCUAGGCAUCUUGCAUCAAGAUGAUGGCUCAUCAAAAAAUAAGAGAGGAGUUCUUCCCAAGCACGCUACAAAUGUGAUGAGAUCUUGGCUUUUUCAGCACAUAGGGCAUCCAUAUCCAACAGAGGAUGAGAAGAAGCAGAUUGCAGCACAAACAAAUCUGACACUACUCCAGGUUAACAAUUGGUUUAUCAAUGCUAGAAGGCGAAUUCUUCAGCCAAUGCUGGAUUCCAGUUGUUCUGAAACUCCAAAAACAAAGAAGAAAACAGCCCAGAACCGACCGGUCCAGAGGUUCUGGCCUGACUCCCUUGCCUCAGGAGUUGCUCAGCAGCAAUCGAACGAGCUCACGAUGUCAGAUGGUGCUGUUGUGACCAUCACAGCUCCAGUGAACAUGAAUGUAGACAGUCUGCAGUCCUUGUCCUCAGAUGGUGCCACCCUGGCCGUGCAGCAGAACACUCAGGCACUUGCUGAGGUCCCCUUGAUUUCAGGAGGAUGAAGGAAUGUGCUCCUGGACAUGCUGAAGUGGCUGGAAGCUGGUCAUGGCAGAUUGUCUUCCAAGGCAAGAUUGUUGGUUUCAGCAAAGCAUCACCAUUGAGAAAAGGUACAUGUUUACAUUAGUUAAAAAGUCUUUACAGGGGACCUGACUUCAAGUCUGUGUAUAAUUCCCCCUGCCCCCAAUUAAAGUCAUAUUCAUAUGCAAUAGAACUAAAUUGGUUUUUGAAUCAAUGUGAUUCUUCUGCAAAUACGAUUAUUGAAACGUUUUUUUUUUUUCCACUCUAACCAAAAACAGGGUUCUCAGUCCAAUUUUUUCAAUAUUCCUGGAACAGGCAAGGCAAUUUUCUGUUAUGUUUUUUUAACUUUGGAAGCAUUGCAGUUCAGUAAAUCAAUUCCAAAACGAUCAGGAUAAGUUUCUGAAUGACUGUUACAAAGAAAUAAUCACAUCAGAAAAUACUCAGAAUCAACCCUGGCUCUGCAGAAGUUUUUCUCCAUCUGGAUUUUGUGUCACAGUGGAGUCCUGCUGACCUCAGGGAAGCUCCAGAGAUCCAUGUCAGGCUGCAUUUACCUUUUCCUCGUUCCUGAUCUCUGUCAGGAAUCUCUUGGAGAGCCCUCCAGCUCUACCUUGCCUGCACACCUGGGUCUUUUUCCAGUGGAAACCUGGGAAUGCAUGAAGGGCUUGGCAGGGCAGGAUUUCAUGGCAACCUGGGGUGCAACGAAUUUUUUUUUUUUUUGGUGUUCAAAAUGCACAGUGAGGAAUUGCAAUUCCCACAGUGAGGAAUUGCAGUUCCCAGUUCCUGUGCUUCCAAAGUAGCUUUAGGUUUAUGGAUAUUGGAGUGCAACAGGAGCACACGUGGCUCAAGCCCCAGCUCCUGGCCUGAGGUUGGCUCAGCUGGUCAGAGAGAGGUGCCAGUGACACCCAGGGCACAGCUCUGAUCCCCUGUGGGCCAUUCCCUGGGGAGCUGGACUCGUUGUGGGUCCCUUCCACCUCAAAGUAUUCUGUGAAAGAAUACAUGGAUUUGUUUCUGGAAGAAUCACAAGUCCAGCUUCCUGACUUUAGGAACUUGGCAGCCCAUGGGAUAAAACAAAGCCUUUCCAAGGGAUGAUAGUUGCACUUAAACAAACAAAAAUCCAGAGCGCCCUGGUGUUUUGAAAAAUUGGAACACAUGCAUUUAAUUGUAAUUAAAGUUGAUUUAACAUUUUCUGAAGUUGAGUUGUCUUGGGAGAAAAAAAAUGAGUAAGUAUUUGUCUAUGCAAGACACAAAUGUCAAAAAUGUGUGAAUUACCCAUCUUUAGGUACUGUAUUGUUAUUGUCUGACUUCUGUUCCUUUGAUAAGUCUCUUCAACCUUUCAGCCUUACAUUUGGCUUAGAGUUGAAAAGAUAAAAUGUAGCUUUGAAAUCCUGUUGGAAAUGUAACUAACCUUCGUUCCCUCAUGAAAAUCUCGCAUGUCAAACAAUUAAGUGAAAUGUUUUGGUUUCCUAAUAAUAAAUUCAAACUCUCACCACCUCCUGCAAACAGCAUAUCCAUGAACGUGCACGUUUAACUGUGGUGUGCAAACCACCCAGCCAUCAGCUGGAUGCACUUCGCUCCUCGCUCUGGGGCAGAGCUGAGGACAAGAGCAGGUUCAUUUUGCCAAACUCAAACUCAGCGUGGAUUCCUUCACCCCCUCCCCUGCCCUUGGCUAACUCCUUUAGGUUGUUUAAUUUUCAAGUCCUACAGUAACCUGAUGGCCCAGUGCAAAAUGCAGUGAAAUUGGCACCGAUGUGCUUUUCAGUCAUUGCCCAAAUCAGGUAAUUUGUUCAUUCCUGUCACCUGGAAAUACAACAUCCGUUCCUUUCCUGUGACUUAGUUCUUUAGGACCUGCUGAGUGAUCACAGUUGGUUUUGCCAGAGAAAAGCAAGGUGUGAGAAGGCAGGGAAAUGCCUUCCCAACAUUGUAGACACCCAUAAAGCCUCAUAGUUGGUGUUAAUAAAACCCAAUGUUUCAGGUCUUGACAGAAGCUGCCCAUAACCUGCCCAAGGAUUAGCAGCACUGGGUCUGUACAAUCGACAAUCUUUAAAAUGUGAACCCUGUAACUUUUCUUUCCUUGGUUGUUAAGGGAUUUUGAAGCAAUUGCUCUAUCAAGGGAUGAAAUUAAAAAUGAGAAUAUGCUUCAUGGA